rnacentral:lncRNA from 1 species
UUUGACCAGCACGGAAGAAGAAGAGAGGUUCGCUGGUUUUUUUGGAGAGGUUGAGUUUGUCGGUUUCUCUCGCUGGAGUCCGGCAGUGAAGAGACAACUAACACAUCUAUUUUUUUUAGGGACAAGAUGAAGGAAAUAAAAAAAUCUAUUUUUUGGGUCUUCACGAGCCUAUAUCGGAUGAAAUUCACUUUGUAUGCCAACUCAGCAAGAAGUGCUCAAUUGGAAUAAGUUUCGGGUAGUAUAAGUGCUUAAUAGAAACUCAGCCUAAAUAAAAAAUCGUACUAAUUUUGAAUGUCUCCA